rnacentral:rRNA from 1 species
AGAGUUUGAUCAUGGCUCAGAUUGAACGCUGGCGGCAUGCCUUACACAUGCAAGUCGAACGGUAACGGGCCUUCGGGUGCCGACGAGUGGCGAACGGGUGAGUAAUGCAUCGGAACGUACCUUUCAGUGGGGGAUAACGUAGCGAAAGUUACGCUAAUACCGCAUAUCCUGUGAGCAGGAAAGCAGGGGAUCGCAAGACCUUGCGCUGAUUGAGCGGCCGAUGUCAGAUUAGCUAGUUGGUGAGGUAAAGGCUCACCAAGGCGACGAUCUGUAGCGGGUCUGAGAGGAUGAUCCGCCACACUGGAACUGGGACACGGUCCAGACUCCUACGGGAGGCAGCAGUGGGGAAUUUUGGACAAUGGGGGCAACCCUGAUCCAGCCAUGCCGCGUGAGUGAAGAAGGCCUUCGGGUUGUAAAGCUCUUUCGGCCGGGAAGAAAUCGCAUGGGUUAAUACCCUGUGCGGAUGACGGUACCGGCAUAAGAAGCACCGGCUAACUACGUG